GAUCUGGUGGAGAGUCCAAACUCCAAACUGCAGACUCUGAGGUUGAUGGACUGCAGGUUGUCAAAGAUCAGCUGUGAUGCUCUGGCCACAGCUCUGAAGUCUAACCCAACCCACCUGACAGAACUGGACCUGAGCUUAAAUGACCUUCAGUUUUCAGAUGUUCAGCAGCUCCAGGAUCUGGUGGAGAGUCCAAACUUCAAACUGCAGACUCUGAGGUGGAAGGGAGAGUGCUGGUCAUUCUGAGGUUCUUCCUUUUGGAUCAGAGAGGAGCAGCAGCUGGUCUGCAGAGAUGUUGUUCCUGGAGGUGGAGAGCAGAGUGAUGGAGGAAUCAGAGGGAGUGGAGAUGAGUGUCAGAGCUGCGGCAUGAACUGAUCUGAGAUCAGCUCCACUGUCUCUCUCAGCAUCAAGUGUACAGUUAAUGUGCUGCAGCUCCCCUGGUGGACUGAAGGAGAACUGCACUUCAUCUUCUCAUUCUAACUUGGGUCCAAAACGAAUUAUUCCCUUCUUCCUACCUCUUCUCUUCAUUUAAAGGGGCUUGUGAGGUGUGAGUUAUAUCCGAAAUAUAUUUUUUUAUAUCGUCCAAGCGGAGGGACAGAAAGCCCUCCCUUGCGAGAAGGUUCCGUGCAGAGCUUUGCUACGGAAGAGACCAUUUUCUUCACAUGGGUGUGGUCUGAAGCAUAGAAGUUUACAUUUAAAAGUAAAUAAUGACUUUUUGUUUGAGCAUGAACUUCUUAAAGUUUUAAAACCGUGGUUGUUAUGUAUAUUCGAAUGCUGGAAGCUCCAUGCUAACCCUUAAUGACGGGUGACUAUUGGUGAUGACAUCAAAAGAAAGUGAUAUCAAGUGAACGUGACAUUGGGACAUCUGAGACAUUGUUUUUCUAUAUCUCUCAGUUUGGAGAGCUAAAUCAUAGACAUUGAGAGACACCUCAUGACUUGUCGCCCCCUAUUGCAGCUGACGUCUUGAUGCACCACUAUCUUGAUGAAGUCCAAGUGAGUUCGCAGCCCCAUUAUCUCUAAUGAGGAAGUUGUAUUUAUAACAAAAAAAAGGUUCUAUUAUGUUUUUUAACAAAAUCUGACAUAUUGUGUGGUAUAAUAAUAAAUAAUAAUUAAUUUAGUAAGCACAACAAGUAUGAAAGGUAUUUUUUGUUAUUGUUGUUGUUUUUUCUCUUUUCUGUGUUGCUGAGGAGCCAAAACCACUGAAAGAAUAAAGGAUCCAACAGAA